rnacentral:rRNA from 1 species
AGAGUUUGAUCCUGGCUCAGGAUGAACGCUGGCGGCGUGCUUAACACAUGCAAGUCGAACGGGGAUUACACGGUGAUGCGAUUUCGGUCAAAUCAAGUGCAAUCUUAGUGGCGGACGGGUGAGUAACACGUGGAUAACCUGCCUUAUACUGGGGGAUAACAGCCAGAAAUGGCUGCUAAUACCGCAUAAGCGCACGGCGCCGCAUGGCGCAGUGUGAAAAACUCCGGUGGUAUAAGAUGGAUCCGCGCCUGAUUAGCUAGUUGGCGGGGCAGCGGCCCACCAAGGCGACGAUCAGUAGCCGGCCUGAGAGGGCGACCGGCCACAUUGGGACUGAGACACGGCCCAAACUCCUACGGGAGGCAGCAGUGGGGAAUAUUGCACAAUGGGGGGAACCCUGAUGCAGCGACGCCGCGUGAGUGAAGAAGUAUUUCGGUAUGUAAAGCUCUAUCAGCAGGGAAGAAGAUGACGGUACCUGACCAAGAAGCCCCGGCUAACUACGUGCCAGCAGCCGCGGUAAUACGUAGGGGGCAAGCGUUAUCCGGAAUUACUGGGUGUAAAGGGAGCGUAGACGGCUGUGCAAGUCUGGAGUGAAAGGCGGGGGCCCAACCCCCGGACUGCUCUGGAAACUGUAUGGCUGGAGUGCAGGAGAGGUAAGCGGAAUUCCUAGUGUAGCGGUGAAAUGCGUAGAUAUUAGGAGGAACACCAGUGGGGAAGGCGGCUUUACUGGACUGUAACUGACGUUGAGGCUCGAAAGCGUGGGGAGCAAACAAGAUUAGAUACCCUGGUAGUCCACGCCGUAAACGAUGAAUAAAAGGUGUCGGAAGGGUAUGGGACCCUUCCGGUGCCCCCAACAAACCCAAUUAAGUAAACCCACCUGGGGAAUUACGUUCCCCAAAAAUGAAAACUCAAAGGAAUUGACGGGGACCCGCACAAGCGGUGGAGCAUGUGGUUUAAUCUGAAGCAACGCGAAGAACCUUACCAAGUCUUGACAUCUGGAUGACAGGGACGUAACGGUCCCCUUACUUCGGUACAUCCAAGACAGGUGGUGCAUGGUUGUCGUCAGCUCGUGUCGUGAGAUGUUGGGUUAAGUCCCGCAACGAGCGCAACCCUUAUCCUUAGUAGCUAGCGGGCAGGGCCGGGCACUCUAGGGAGACUGCCGGGGAUAACCCGGAGGAAGGUGGGGAUGACGUCAAAUCAUCAUGCCCCUUAUGAUUUGGGCUACACACGUGCUACAAUGGCGUAAACAGAGGGAAGCGAACCCGCGAGAGGGAGCAAAUCCCAAAAAUAACGUCCCAGUUCGGAUUGUAGCCUGCAACCCGGCUACAUGAAGCUGGAAUCGCUAGUAAUCGCGGAUCAGAAUGCCGCGGUGAAUACGUUCCCGGGUCUUGCACUCACCGCCCGUCA